AGAACAAUUGUUGGGUCAUUUAUAGUCUCAUGUUUAGUGUUAUAGAUACUUCCAAGAUGUUUUACAAAAUGACAUUAACAUUUUACAUUCCCAUUAGCAAU
rnacentral:pre_miRNA from 1 species